rnacentral:rRNA from 1 species
UACGUAGGGUGCGAGCGUUGUCCGGAAUUACUGGGCGUAAAGAGCUCGUAGGUGGUUUGUCGCGUUGUUCGUGAAAACUCACAGCUUAACUGUGGGCGUGCGGGCGAUACGGGGCAGACUGGAGUACUGCAGGGGAGACUGGAAUUCCUGGUGUAGCGGUGGAAUGCGCAGAUAUCAGGAGGAACACCGGUGGCGAAGGGCGGGUCUCUGGGCAGUAACUGACGCUGAGGAGCGAAAGCGUGGGGAGCGAACAGG